UAGUGAUUCCUACGGGAGGCAGCAGUGGGGAAUAUUGGACAAUGGGCGAAAGCCUGAUCCAGCAAUGCCGCGUGAGCGAUGUUGGCCCUAAGGUUGUAAAGCUCUUUUACCAGGGAUGAUAAUGACAGUACCUGGAGAAUAAGCUCCGGCUAACUCCGUGCCAGCAGCCGCGGUAAU
rnacentral:rRNA from 1 species